UUAACGAGUUAAUUACGAUCUCGAGGCGAAGAAAUAGCAAUUAAGAAUUCACUUGCGCUUCGAAAGUUAAACGAAACAAUCUAAAGGCAUUAUUUUCUAGACUUCAUCGUGCUCUUUGUUUCGGUAAAUCUAGAAUAAAGCUUUUAAAGAGAGACAAUAGUGAUGCGCACGCAGAGCUAAUCGUUCAUCGAGACUGGCGCCCGUGAAAGAGGAAUGGGGUCGACACGCGAGGCUCAACUGCGAGGGAAUGCGUCCUGCGUCCAAUACUCCAAUGCAUAGCCGUACAAGGAAAAGGGUGACCAGGACAAAAA